AGUUUCUGCAUGUCUAGUAUAAGCAUUUAUACGGUGAAACUGCGAAUGGCUCAUUAAAUCAGUUAUCGUUUAUUUGAUAGUACCUUACUACAUGGAUACCUGUGGUAAUUCUAGAGCUAAUACAUGCUAAAAACCUCGACUUCGGAAGGGGUGUAUUUAUUAGAUAAAAAACCAAUGCCCUUCGGGGCUCCUUGGUGAAUCAUAAUAACUUAACGAAUCGCAUGGCCUUGCGCCGGCGAUGGUUCAUUCAAAUUUCUGCCCUAUCAACUUUCGAUGGUAGGAUAGUGGCCUACCAUGGUGGCAACGGGUAACGGGGAAUUAGGGUUCGAUUCCGGAGAGGGAGCCUGAGAAACGGCUACCACAUCCAAGGAAGGCAGCAGGCGCGCAAAUUACCCAAUCCCGACACGGGGAGGUAGUGACAAUAAAUACUGAUACGGGGCUCUUUUGGGUCUCGUAAUUGGAAUGAGUACAAUCUAAAUCCCUUAACGAGGAACAAUUGGAGGGCAAGUCUGGUGCCAGCAGCCGCGGUAAUUCCAGCUCCAAUAGCGUAUAUUAAAGUUGUUGCAGUUAAAAAGCUCGUAGUUGAACCUUGGGUCUGGCUGGCCGGUCCGCCUCACCGCGAGUACUGGUCCGGCUGGACCUUUCCUUCUGGGGAACCUCAUGGCCUUCACUGGCUGUGGGGGGAACCAGGACUUUUACUGUGAAAAAAUUAGAGUGUUCAAAGCAGGCCUUUGCUCGAAUACAUUAGCAUGGAAUAAUAGAAUAGGACGUGCGGUUCUAUUUUGUUGGUUUCUAGGACCGCCGUAAUGAUUAAUAGGGAUAGUCGGGGGCGUCAGUAUUCAGCUGUCAGAAGUGAAAUUCUUGGAUUUGCUGAAGACUAACUACUGCGAAAGCAUUCGCCAAGGAUGUUUUCAUUAAUCAGGGAACGAAAGUUAGGGGAUCGAAGACGAUCAGAUACCGUCGUAGUCUUAACCAUAAACUAUGCCGACUAGGGAUCGGGCGGUGUUUCUAUGAUGACCCGCUCGGCACCUUACGAGAAAUCAAAGUUUUUGGGUUCUGGGGGGGAGUAUGGUCGCAAGGCUGAAACUUAAAGAAAUUGACGGAAGGGCACCCCAAGGCGUGGAGCCUGCGGCUUAAUUUGAUCCACCCCGGGGAAAAUCCCCCGGUCCGACAAAAUAAGGAUUGUCGAAUUGAAAACCCUUUUUUAUUUUUUUGUGGGGGGGGGGGGGCCGCUCUUUUUUUUGGGGGGAAUUUUUUCUUUUUUUUCAAAAAAAAAAAAACCCCCCCCCCCAAAAAAACCGGCCCCCCUUUCGGGGCCCCCGCUUUUUUUGGGGAAAAACCCCCCCCCCCAGAA
rnacentral:rRNA from 1 species